ensembl:scaRNA
AGGCACGGGAGGGAGAGUGGCCUUGGGGGAGAGUUGUGUGUGCUGUGCAUAGGUGUCGCAUGGGAGGCGUGGGUGGGCCGAGGCGUGAGUGGAUGCCCGAAUGUGUGUGAGUGUAUGUUCACGCACAUGCAUCUUACAUACAAGAGGAGUGAGUACGCCCACCCCUACCCCACCAUGCCCACACCCCCGCCCCUCCACACACCUUGAUCUUAUUUGAUGGGGUCGUGACCCCACCUCACCAGGUCCCUUCUGUUAAGCCCUGUCUUUGGGGGCUGUGCAGCAAGGCCCUUGGGCAGCAGCAACGCCGGGGUCCCAGAGUCCCAGAGCUAGACCAACAGGGCCUCGCCCUCAGAAGUGAUAAACUGAUCAGGUAGACGGGGCUGCACUUGUCCCGGGCCGUUGAUUACUGAGGCGAUUCUGAUCUGA